rnacentral:rRNA from 1 species
UACGUAGGGCGCAAGCGUUAUCCGGAAUUAUUGGGCGUAAAGAGCUCGUAGGCGGUUUGUCGCGUCUGCCGUGAAAGUCCGGGGCUCAACUCCGGAUCUGCGGUGGGUACGGGCAGACUAGAGUGAUGUAGGGGAGACUGGAAUUCCAGGUGUAGCGGUGAAAUGCGUAGAUAUCUGGAGGAAUACCGGUGGCGAAGGCGGCAUCCUGGACCAUUACUGACGCUGAGGCGCGAAAGCUAGGGGAGCAAACGGG